GACUAAUAUUAUCCUGUGUUGUUCUGUAUGUUAUAUUCUCUUUUCAUACAUUAAGGAACUAUACUAUAUUUACCGAAGUAUACUAAAUCAUUUUAGUUUUAUACGGACAACACUACCUCUACUGUGAGGACAACACUAAAAAGAGAUUUUGACAGUUAGAGCGCGCGCUUUCCAUGCGCUUCCUUCGUGGACUGAUAAACUAUGUUUUCUUACGAUUGAUAUUAAAUUGUGUUUUAAAAGUGAAUACAAGAAGUUAUUGUGAUACGAAUUGACGUUUUAUUACUGAUUAAGGCUAGGAGAUCAUACCCUAGCUUAUAUCAGAAGCGGGAAGAACAGAAAACGCCUAAUUACCAAUGGGGCGCGAAUGCUCCGAAUACAAUAAAAUUAAUGAUCACGCCACACUAUGCGAAACACUUAAACGAAGACGAGAUGACCACAGCACUGAUUGCUCAACCGCAAUAAUGUAUCAAGGACUUAUCUACUCAAGGAAAACAAAGUGACAUGGUCAACAACUUGUGGAGCCUAUAAUGACGACGACCAGACAAGAUUCUUGUGUGUAGAUUACUGCUUGACACACACUACGCCUGAUGGCGAUUAGACACCUUCUCCGCCGCGAUGCAACAGGUACCCGAGACAUUGGACAAUCAGGUAUAAGCAUUAAUAUUUUUUUUUUCUCAUUCCAAUUAAUCCAUGGAAUAGAAAACAAUCAUUUAAUUGCCCAAACAUGUGUAUACAUGCAUACACACGCAGGUGCAUGCAUGUAGGAUAAUACAAUUAUUAAAGGUAUGUGCUUAAAACAUGUUUGCCACUUGUCAUGGCAUACAAAUAUAAAACCAGAAACAUUUAGCUCUAUAUACUAAAAACUAUUUGAGCUGACAUUUCAGAGCUUCGGUACUGAGUUUUCUCUAGGUUAUAGAUAUUUUGUUGUACAUAAUGGGUGCCAUUCAAAAUAUAAUUUAGCACAUAAGUGCAGUUUUACAUGGAUGUGAACAGAGUUUGCUAUUGAUCCAUUUGAUGCAUACAUUUUUAAGGUGAGUAAAUGUACAACAAUAAAAAAUUAUUUCUUAUUUCUUAUUUCAUAAAAAAAAAAGCAAUAUAUUUCAUUAGACAUCCAUAAACCAGCUGGGAACAUGACAGAUACUCUGAGGUAAACAUUUAUAUCCUGAGUAAUUAUGUACUUAUGGUGUUAUUUUUGCUACACAUUGAAUACAUAAAAUAUUCAUGAGAAAAGAGUAAAUAAAGCAAGUAAAGCUAAUUGCAUAGUUCAUGGGGAUGAUGGCCAAACGAUUUGGUGUUAAUGCAUUAUUUACAUACAUUACUGAAAUAGACAAAGGAAGUACCUAUAAAAAUAAGUAAAUAGGAUAUAACAAUAGGAUAUUCAUGAUAUAAAGCCAAUAUUACAAUAAUUAAAAUUGAAAUAAUCAUAAUCACUUACAAAUAGAGGUAGAAAAUAAAGUGGUUAAUUGACAACCAACAAAAACCGUGCGACACAGCUUUUGACUAUUCUAUGUACAUCCAAAGCGGUGAUAACAGGUAUUAAUAAUGGAUAAUCAAAUACUUUAAAGUACUAUAAACACUAAACUGGUUUUUAUUAAUAAAGUAACUAUGAAACUAAAUGCUUCAAGCCAGUAUGUUUCAGACAGUAAGUAUGUUUUACCAAUAUCUUGGUACUGCCAAUAGCAUACAUCAUUGUUAAGUAAAACUUCAUUCCAAGCAAAUAUCAUUGCUUGUUAUUAUUUUAAAGAGUAUCUAAAGUGAAAAUUAUAAAAAUGGUAAUCUUUUUAAAAUGAUCUUUUCCAUAUUAUUAACUGUAAAUUGCCUCACCUAGAAAAAGUUAAACUGCUUAUUCUAUCUGAAUGUUGGAUGAUAUUACAGCUAACAGGUACAUUAUAGGACUGUAACACAUUAAGGAUAGUUUAAUCACAGUAAAGAUGCAGCAAUUGUAGUACUUAAAGGAUUUUACAGACUGAAGCAUAAUAAAUAAAUAUAAAUCAGUAGUGUCAAUUAAUCAGAAGAAAAUAUAACUCAGUAGUGUCAGUAAUCUGAGUAGCCAGAUCAGAUAUGUUCUUUUUGAAAGAUUUCAUUUUAAUUUGGAAUCCACCACUUGAUGCUGAGACCAGUUUUCUCAACCAUUAAAAAUAACCCGAAGUGCUUAAAGAUAUGUAUACUAGAAACAAAUAAAUACAAAAUAAAGAAAUUUCGGCUUUGAAAUCUGAAUCGAAAGCAGUCUAUAUAUUAUUAACUUAAUAAAUGAAUAUGGCAAUUGGGUCAAUAAGAGAUAGGUUUGAGUUGGAACAAAACAACAUUAGUUAUACAUAAAAUUGUCUGAUACUACACAGGAGCUAUACCAUCAGAAUACAUUAUACCAUACUGAAAAAGAAGUAUGUGAGACAGUUAAAGAAUAAAAGACUAGGCAAUUAAUAAGUAAUUUGUCCUAGCCCAUUAAAAAGUUGAAUGCAUACCAGGGCACUCAGUAAAACAUAUAGAUUAUUAUAAAUAAACUGAACCUGAACUUUUAUGGAUGGUAACGAUACGAGUUAACAUUUCUCUCUAUACUCUCUUUAUGACAGGAAAUCUUGUAAUUUCCUGGGAGGUAAGACAUUUUAUUCUGAGACUAAAUUUCAGCACAUAUUGUAUGUUAGACCUUCUCUCACAGAAAAUUACAUGUACAGUUUAUGAUGAUUUUCUUGAGUGAUGUUGUGAGUCUAUUCUGACCACUUAUAAAAUAGGAACCAAGAUUGUGGAGGAUCAGAGGAGUGAAUUCAGUGGGGUGUCAACAACAUCUUUAACAAGUCAGUAAGUACAACCACAAGUGUUUUACAGUCAACAACUAAGAAAGAGCAUUGCUUAGUAUUUAUUAGUUUUGAACCAUUAAUUAAAAAAAAACUGACUGAUAAAGAACAAUUUAUAUGGUGAUUGGAACUUAUAUUUAAAGAUGAUGACAUCUGGUUAUGUUUAUAUUCAUAUAUAUUUAUUUGCAUUCCAUAAUGUUACAAUAGAUGUUGAAGAGGCUUAAAACUAAGUAGGUACCAUUAUAGGCCCUGUUAGGGCACAGCUAAAGAAGGCAAUACUUUAAGGCACCAUAAAUAAAGAACCAUGAGUUAAACUAGGCUCAGGGGUACUUUGUUGUCACUUUGUUUGUAUUAAAAUUGUUUCUACGGCACCACCUUCAAUUCUGCUUUCGUAUCCCUCAUCAGGGAUAUAGUUCCGAAGGAGCAGAAAGCUUUUCCACUCACGCUUUACAACUUGUAGAGUUAUAAUUUGAUUAAAUGGUAUUAACUAAAAAGAAAAGCUUAAAUUGAGAAGUGUAAUGAUUUUAAUGAAUUGUUAAUUAAUAAAACAAUACCAGAUGAAGAAAAUUGAAUGAAUAAAUUAAAGAUUUGUACAAUUUUUACCUUGAUUAUCUGUUAUUAAUUCUUACGAGCCUCUGUAUUGAGAUGUGAAAUGAAUUGAAAGAUUCAUACUAAUUCAGUUUGGUUGUAUUGUUGAAUUAUUGAAAUAAGACUACAUAAAUAAACUUUUGAUAAGUUCAUAGGUUGGAAGGUAUGCACUAUGUACUGUUUUAGCUGGUUCUAUUGUUUGUUGCUGAAAACAAACGACUCGAGGAAGAAAAUGGAUAUUAUGUAUUUAUAUAUUUUAACCACUACAAUAAGGGAUUAACAGAAACAAUUGUAAUGUUGUAACAAUUGUAACUUGUAGUGGUCUGAUUGAGUUUGAUUGUGUUGUUAAAUAAUAAUAAUAGAAGACAUGUAUUGAUUUAGUUCAACCAUAGGCAUUGCUCUAAUACAAAUAAGAGAUGGACAGAGAAAAAUGUAAUUACUUGUACAUUUCUCAUUUUAUUAUGUUGUUAAUUAUUAAAAACUAGCGACUGGAAUGCUAAUAAAGAAUUGAGUAUUGAAUAGACAAGAUAUAUUGUACUAGUUGUGAGAUAACGAAUAUAAAUAAGAGAUGGGCAGAGAAACUGACUAAAGAAUUUGUAUUAGCUACUUUGAUCAUAUUGAUGAUUAAUGGAUACUAAACGAGAUAAAAUAUGUAUACAUAUAUAUUGUAGUCAGAGAUAGAAGAUGUAAUAAAUUGAGAGAUUUGUAUAUUGUCCAGUUUGAGGAUAUUGACAAUUACGAGUCAUUUAUGAUUCUGAAUUUAAUACACGGAAGGCAUUGUGUAAGGACGGUUUUGUGUAAGGAGCCGCUUGUGAUAAUAUUAUUAAUCAAUAUUUAUAGAGAUCUUCAUUGACACAUACCUACUUAAAAAGCUGUGUAUAUUUCUCAUAGCUCUCAAUUCUUCGAAACUAAGUCCUUAAAAAAUAAAUUGUAUAUAUUGUGCCAAUAAAGUGUAAUUGUGAAGUAUAUAAAAUAAGACAGGAUAUUAAGCAAUUGUAUAUUGUAUUGAAGAUCAAUACAAGUGUAGUGACGCAGUUUAUGAAUCUAAGGCUGGAUAUUAAGAAAUUGUAUAUUGUAUUGUUAAUGUACAGUAGUCCAGGUACUGGAUAGAAAGAAGUUGUUUACUGUAAUGAGAAUUAUAUAAGCAGAAGCAAUGUGUAAAUACUGAUUUGCACUUUGAAUUAUGAUAGUGAUAAAUUUUAAUGUGUUAAUAAGGAACAUAAGUUCAGAGACUUUGUAUAAUAGAAGUUUUCUAUUGAAAUGAGAAAUGAUAUAAGUAUUUUGAUGCCAAUAUGGUGAUGUUGACUUGUACUGCUUGAAUUUGAAUGAGGUACACAAAUCCAGAGACUGGAUACAUAGGAUUCUUUAUUUAAUGAUUGAUGAUAUAAGUAUGUUGUCGUCGAUAUGUUCAUAUUGACUUGUAAUAUUGAAAUUUGAAUGUAUUGAUAAAGUAUGUGUAAGAUAAGAACCGAGACUGGAUAUAAGGAUUUGUUUAUUUGAUGGGGAACUAUAUAAAUGAAUUCAUGUCAAUAUGUUGAUUUUGACUUGUAUUGCUUGAAUUUGAAUGUAUUGGUAAGGUACCUACACAAGUCCGGAGACUGGAUAUAGAGAAUUGUUUAUUUAAUGGGGAAUGAUAAAAGUAUAUUGAUGUCAAAAUGUUGAUGUUGACUUGUAAUCGUUGAAUUUGAAUGUAUUUAUAAAGAAAUAAAUCCAGAGACUGGAUAUAAAACAUGUCGAUUAUUGAAAUAGGAAAUGACAUAAGUAUAUAGAUGCCAAUAUGUUGAUGUUGACUUGAAAUGGUUGAAUUUGAAUGUAUUUAUAAAGAAUAUAGAUCCAGAGACUGGAUAUAAAUAAAGUUGAUUAUUGAAAUAUGAUAUAAGUAUAUAGAUGCCAAUAUGUUGAUGUUGACUUGAAAUGGUUGAAUUUGAAUGUAUUUAUAAAGAAUAUAGAUCCAGAGACUGGAUAUAAAUAAAGUUGAUUAUUGAAAUAUGAUAUAAGUAUAUAGAUGCCAAUAUGUUGACGUUGACUUGAAAUGGUUGAAUUUGAAUGUAUUUAUAAAGAAUAUAGAUCCAGAGACUGGAUAUAAAUAAAGUUGAUUAUUGAAAUAUGAUAUAAGUAUAUAGAUGCCAAUAUGUUGAUGUUGACUUGAAAUGGUUGAAUUUGAAUGUAUUUAUAAAGAAUAUAGAUCCAGAGACUGGAUAUAAAUAAAGUUGAUUAUUGAAAUAUGAUAUAAGUAUAUAGAUGCCAAUAUGUUGAUGUUUACUUGUAAUGGUUGAAUUUGAAUGUAUUUAUAAAGAAAUAAAUCCAAAGACUGGAUAUAAAACAAGUCGAUUAUUGAAAUAGGAAAUUAUAUAAGUAUAUAGAUAUCAAUAUGUUGAUGUUGGCUUGAAAUGGUUGAAUUGGAAUGUAUUUAUAAAUAAUAUAAAUCCAGAGACUGGAUAUAAAACAAGUCGAUUAUUUAAAUAGGAAAAUAUAUAAGUAUAUAGAUGCCAAUAUGUUGAUGUUGACUUGUCAUGGUUAAAUUUGAAUGUAUUGAUAAGGUACAUAAGUCGAGAGACUUGAUAGAAGGAUCUUGAUGUCAAUUUGUUAACAUGACUAGAAGGCGUAGAUAGCUCCAAAUAGGAGUGAAUUCCUCGUUGCAGUCACAGUGAUAGUAAGAUUAACUUACUCUGUUAAACUUGAAUGUUUUGAUAAAGUAUACAAGUCCAAAUACUAGACGUGAAGUUGUUUACCGUAGUAAGAAUUUGUACAAGUAUAUGGUUGCCAAUUUGUUAAAAUGGCAAUGUACACAAGUCACAGUUUGGAUUCAAAAUGAAAUGAAAUGAAAAUAUUCGCAGAAAUUGUUUAUCGUAGUGAGAGUUUAUGCAAUUAUAUUGUUGACGAUUUGUUAGCAUGGCUGGAAGGCGUGGAUGGCUCCAGUUGGAGUGAAGGCCACGAUGCAGUCCUAGUUAAAGAUACGACUCUGGAAGGUUGGCACGAUCGUGAAGCCUUGUUGGUGGACAUCCUCUUGGCUUUGCGGUGAGGGGUCAAAUGCAGAUGUCGUGAGUUGAGAUUGGCUGGAAGGCGUGGAUGGCUCCAGUUGGAGUGAAGGCCACGAUGCAGUCCGUCCUAGUUAAAGAUACGACUCUGGAAGGUUGGCACGAUCGUGAAGCCUUGUUGGUGGACAUCCUCUUGGCUUUGCGGUGAGGGGUCAAAUGCAGAUGUCGUGAGUUGAGAUUGGCUGGAAGGCGUGGAUGGCUCCAGUUGGAGUGAAGGCCACGAUGCAGUCCGUCCUAGUUAAAGAUACGACUCUGGAAGGUUGGCACGAUCGUUAAGCCUUGUUGGUGGACAUCCUCUUGGCUUUGCGGUGAGGGGUCAAAUGCAGAUGUCGUGAGUUGAGAUUGGCUGGAAGGCGUGGAUGGCUCCAGUUGGAGUGAAGGCCACGAUGCAGUCCGUCCUAGUUAAAGAUACGGCUCUGGAAGGUUGGCACGAUCGUGAAGCCUUGUUGGUGGACAUCCUCUUGGCUUUGCGGUGAGGGGUCAAAUGCAGAUGUCGUGAGUUGAGAUUGGCUGGAAGGCGUGGAUGGCUCCAGUUGGAGUGAAGGCCACGAUGCAGUCCGUCCUAGUUAAAGAUACGACUCUGGAAGGUUGGCACGAUCGUGAAGCCUUGUUGGUGGACAUCCUCUUGGCUUUGCGGUGAGGGUCAAAUGCAGAUGUCGUGAGUUGAGAUUGGCUGGAAGGCGUGGAUGGCUCCAGUUGGAGUGAAGGCCACGAUGCAGUCCGUCCUAGUUAAAGAUACGACUCUGGAAGGUUGGCACGAUCGUGAAGCCUUGUUGGUGGACAUCCUCUUGGCUUUGCGGUGAGGGGUCAAAUGCAGAUGUCGUGAGUUGAGAUUGGCUGGAAGGCGUGGAUGGCUCCAGUUGGAGUGAAGGCCACGAUGCAGUCCGUCCUAGUUAAAGAUACGACUCUGGAAGGUUGGCACGAUCGUGAAGCCUUGUUGGUGGACAUCCUCUUGGCUUUGCGGUGAGGGGUCAAAUGCAGAUGUCGUGAGUUGAGAUUGGCUGGAAGGCGUGGAUGGCUCCAGUUGGAGUGAAGGCCACGAUGCAGUCCGUCCUCGUUAAAGAUACGACUCUGGAAGGUUGGCACGAUCGUGAAGCCUUGUUGGUGGACAUCCUCUUGGCUUUGCGGUGAGGGGUCAAAUGCAGAUGUCGUGAGUUGAGAUUGGCUGGAAGGCGUGGAUGGCUCCAGUUGGAGUGAAGGCCACGAUGCAGUCCGUCCUAGUUAAAGAUACGACUCUGGAAGGUUGGCACGAUCGUGAAGCCUUGUUGGUGGACAUCCUCUUGGCUUUGCGGUGAGGGGUCAAAUGCAGAUGUCGUGAGUUGAGAUUGGCUGGAAGGCGUGGAUGGCUCCAGUUGGAGUGAAGGCCACGAUGCAGUCCGUCCUAGUUAAAGAUACGACUCUGGAAGGUUGGCACGAUCGUGAAGCCUUGUUGGUGGACAUCCUCUUGGCUUUGCGGUGAGGGGUCAAAUGCAGAUGUCGUGAGUUUAGAUUGGCUGGAAGGCGUGGAUGGCUCCAGUAAGAGUGAACGCCUCGAGGCAGUCCUAGGAACGCAGCUCUGUAAAGGUGGCACAGUCAUGAAUUCUUGCUGGCGAAUAACCUCUUGACUUUGACCUUUAACUUUGUACCAAAAUAUAAACCAAUUUGUAAAUGUGAACACCAUGUAGUAUUUUAAUUGUCACUUUACUCUCAUUUGUCUUUGCGAUUCUACAUGAUCUUCGCAUGCUUUUACUGUAUGUACCAAUACAUACAAAUUGUAAUACUAUAUUAUUUUUAAAAAAGAGUAACCAUGGAGUUUCUUGCCCGUUCUUCUCCAUAGGAAGCUACUUUUGGAAUGGGCAACUAGAAUCAAACUUAGUUAUAAUUUUGACGUCCAUAAGUGCUUGUAAAGGCCUAAAUGAAAUAAAUGAUUUGACUUUGAGAAGUUUGAGGACAAACUUAGUGGUCAGAAUGGCCGAAUGUUAGACUAAUAUUAUCCUGUGUUGUUCUGUAUGUUAUAUUCUCUUUUCAUACAUUAAGGAACUAUACUAUAUUUACCGAAGUAUACUAAAUCAUUUUAGUUUUAUACGGACAACACUACCUCUACUGUGAGGACAACACUAAAAAGAGAUUUUGACAGUUAGAGCGCGCGCUUUCCAUGCGCUUCCUUCGUGGACUGAUAAACUAUGUUUUCUUACGAUUGAUAUUAAAUUGUGUUUUAAAAGUGAAUACAAGAAGUUAUUGUGAUA